rnacentral:sRNA from 1 species
GAAAAGCGAUAGGGAUAGUAGUGGAAAUCCUUUUUAUAAAGAUUUGGAUGAGGACAGAAGUUGGGAAUCUUUAUAAAAAGAUUGUAACGGAUAGCCCGGUCUCGC